GACGAACGCUGGCGGCGUGCUUAACACAUGCAAGUCGAACGGUGAAGCCCUUCGGGGUGGAUCAGUGGCGAACGGGUGAGUAACACGUGAGCAACCUGCCCCUGACUCUGGGAUAACUACCGGAAACGGUGGCUAAUACCGGAUAUGACGCCCUGUCGCAUGGUGGGGUGUGGAAAGUUUUUCGGUCAGGGAUGGGCUCGCGGCCUAUCAGCUUGUUGGUGGGGUGAUGGCCUACCAAGGCGACGACGGGUAGCCGGCCUGAGAGGGCGACCGGCCACACUGGGACUGAGACACGGCCCAGACUCCUACGGGAGGCAGCAGUGGGGAAUAUUGCGCGAUGGGCGAAAGCCUGACGCAGCGACGCCGCGUGAGGGAUGAAGGCCUUCGGGUUGUAAACCUCUUUCAGCAGGGAAGAAGCGAAAGUGACGGUACCUGCAGAAGAAGCACCGGCUAACUACGUGCCAGCAGCCGCGGUAAAAC
rnacentral:rRNA from 1 species